CUUAAUGCUGCUCCCUCCAUCACUGUUCUGCUUGCCACUGAGGGGAGAGGUGGGAGGAGGUCUUGGACUGUCUUUGCAGGGGCCCUUGGAGACCCAAGUUCCCAAGCCCCUCCCUGUCCUCAUACACCAUUUCCCUGCUCCCCAGACUAUGCCUUCUGUCCUGGCCAGCAGGCUGUCAGGCUGCUGCUGACAUGCUGUGUGUGNUCUUCUUCUCCCACUUUGUUCUCUGCAUCAUGAGUCCUUGUUUUCUGCUGCUGUUCUGUGUCAUGAGUUCAUCUGGAAGCAAGUCAAGAGCAUCCUCUUUGUUCUUCCUCUGGCCAUGUGCGCCUCCAUCCCACAACCAUGUCCUGCUACGAUCUGUGCCGUCCCUGUGGGCCAACCCCGCUUGCCAACAGCUGCAACGAGCCCUGUGUCCGGCAGUGCCAG
rnacentral:lncRNA from 1 species